UCACUCUGGCUUCUCUUCAACGUAUGAUUCUUUCGCCUUUUACUAAAGAAUUCCGUGGAGAGGAGCAGUUGAAUGAGUCUUGGACAUUUUUCGAUAUCCGACUUUGGUCGGUUU
rfam:Ciona savignyi cont_26943, whole genome shotgun sequence.